rnacentral:rRNA from 1 species
AAAUGAAUAGACGGGGACCCGCACAAGCAGCGGAGCAUGUGGUUUAAUUCGAAGCAACGCGAAGAACCUUACCAGGGCUUGACAUCCCUCUGACCGACCGGUAACGCGGUCUUCUCUUCGGAGCAGAGGUGACAGGUGGUGCAUGGUUGUCGUCAGCUCGUGUCGUGAGAUGUUGGGUUAAGUCCCGCAACGAGCGCAACCCUUGUCGUUAGUUGCCAUCAUUGAGUUGGGCACUCUAAUGAGACUGCCGGGGAUAACUCGGAGGAAGGUGGGGAUGACGUCAAAUCAUCAUGCCCCUUAUGUUCUGGGCUACACACGUGCUACAAUGGCCGGUACAGAGAGAUGCAAUACCGUGAGGUGGAGCCAAACUCAAAAACCGGUCCCAGUUCGGAUUGCAGGCUGCAACUCGCCUGCAUGAAGUAGGAGUUGCUAGUAAUCGCGAAUCAGAACGUCGCGGUGAAUGCGUUCCCGGGUCUUGUACACACCGCCCGU